rnacentral:tRNA from 1 species
UGCGGAGUGGAGCAGUUUGGCAGCUCGUUUGGCUCAUAACCAAAAGGUCCCUGGUUCGAAUCCAGGCUCCGCCA